GACGAACGCUGGCGGCGUGCUUAACACAUGCAAGUCGAACGAUGAAGAAAAGAAUCGAAGCUUCGGCAGAAAUUCAUUUCGGAUUAGUGGCAGACGGGUGAGUAACGCGUGAGCAACCUACCUCUUACAAAGGGAUAGCCUCGGGAAACCGGGAUUAAUACCAUAUAACAUUGUGACGAAGCAUUUCGAUGCAAUCAAAGCUACGGCGGUAAGAGAUGGGCUCGCGUCCCAUUAACCGGAUGGUGAGGUAACGGCUCACCAUAGUGACGAUGGGUAACCGGGCUGAGAGGGUGAACGGUCACACUGGAACUGAGACACGGUCCAGACUCGUACGGGAGGCAGAAGUGGGGAAUAUUGCACAAUGGAGGGAACGCUGAUGCAGCGACGCCGCGUGAGUGAUGAAGGUAUUCGCUGCUUAAAACUCUGUACUAUGGGAAGAAAAGGACGGUACCAUAGGAGAAAGCUCCGGCUAAAUACGUG
rnacentral:rRNA from 1 species